rnacentral:rRNA from 1 species
UACGAAGGGGGCUAGCGUUGUUCGGAAUUACUGGGCGUAAAGCGCACGUAGGCGGACAUUUAAGUCAGGGGUGAAAUCCCAGAGCUCAACUCUGGAACUGCCUUUGAUACUGGGUGUCUUGAGUAUGGAAGAGGUGAGUGGAAUUCCGAGUGUAGAGGUGAAAUUCGUAGAUAUUCGGAAGAACACCAGUGGCGAAGGCGACUCACUGGACAUGUAUUGACGCUGAGGUGCGAAAGCGUGGGGAGCAAACAGG